UACGGGGGGAGCAAGCGUUGUUCGGAUUUACUGGGCGUAAAGGGCGCGUAGGCGGCCACCGCAAGUCGACUGUGAAAUCUCCGGGCUUAACCCGGAAAGGUCAGCCGAUACUGCGGGGCUAGAGUGCAGAAGGGGCAACUGGAAUUCUCGGUGUAGCGGUGAAAUGCGUAGAUAUCGAGAGGAACACCUGCGGCGAAGGCGGGUCGCUGGGCUGACACUGACGCUGAGGCGCGAAAGCUAGGGGAGCGAACGGG
rnacentral:rRNA from 1 species